AGAAUAUUAUUUAAGUUGUUUAAGAGGAGAUUAUUAAUUAAAGUAAUUUUAGAGGAUGAAUUUUAGUAUAGUUUAUAGAAUAGAUGAAUUGAGUAAUAGUAUAGUAGUACUGUGGGGGAAAUAUGAAAUAGAUGAAAUAGUUAUUAGGAUGGAAGAAGAAUGGAGUUUGUACCUUGGGUAUCAGGGUUUAUUAAUUAAUGAUAAUGAUUUAUAGUUCUCGAAUUGAAAAGAGUAAAAAUAAUAUGGUAGUUAAUGUGUUACUAUUAUUAAUAAUAUUAUUUUAGAAAUGAAAUGUUAAACGUUUUUUAAGUUAUCUAGUUUUCCAAGAGAUGAAUUUAAUUCAUGUUGCUAAAAGUAAAUGUUUAUUUGUGAUUAAUAAUUUAUUUUUUUGGUACCAAAUAUACAAAGGGAUAAGCUUUUGUGUAGUACUAUAAGUUGUGAAGAAUUUAUGAGGAGUAAUAGGCUUUAAAUUAGCCAUUUAUGAAAUAAUGUUAUAAAUUGUUUUGUAAUUAAAUUAUUUUUUAAUAAGUUUAGGUUGUUUAUUGGAAUAUUAUAUUUAAUGGAUUAGUAUAAGUAAUGAUGAUGAAAUGAGUAUAUACAAUUGUUUAUUUGGAUUUAUAGGAGAAUUUAUAGUAAGGAAUUAGGCAAAUUAUCACUCGCCUGUUUAUCAAAAACAUCUCCUUUUGAUUGUGUAUAAGGUAGGGCCUGCCCACUGAAGAUAUUUGAAGGGCCGCGGUAUUAUGACCGUGCAAAGGUAGCAUAAUCAUUAGUCUUUUAAUUGAAGGCUGGAAUGAAUGGUUUGACGAGGUGAUAACUGUCUCAUUAUAAUUAAUAGAAGUUAACUUUUAAGUCAAAAGGCUUAAAUUUUGAUGGAGGACGAGAAGACCCUAUAGAGCUUUAUAUAUAGAUUUAAGUUUAUAUAUGGAUGUUUAUAAAAAUUUAAGUUGGUUAUAUUGUGUUGGGGUGACAUAAAGAUAAAAUGAACUCUUUAUUAAAAUGACAUUGAUAUAUGGAUAUUUGAUCCAUUUUUAGUGAUCAUAAGAUUAAGUUACCUUAGGGAUAACAGCGUAAUUUUUCUUGAGAGUUCAUAUCAACAGAGAAGAUUGCGACCUCGAUGUUGGAUUAAGGAAUAUAAUUGGAUGCAGCAGUUUAAUUAAUAGGUCUGUUCGACCUUUAAAUCCUUACAUGAUCUGAGUUCAGACCGGUGUAAGCCAGGUCGGUUUCUAUCCUUAUUAUAGUAUUAUACUUUAGUACGAAAGGACCAAGUGUUAUAAAUAUUUUAUUAUAUUUGAUUAUUAUUA
rnacentral:rRNA from 1 species